rnacentral:rRNA from 1 species
GGGAAUCUUCCACAAUGGGCGAAAGCCUGAUGGAGCAACGCCGCGUGGGUGAAGAAGGUCUUCGGAUCGUAAAACUCUGUUGUUAGAGAAGAACAAGGACGUUAGUAACUGAACGUCCCCUGACGGUAUCUAACCAGAAAGCCACGGCUAACUCCGUGCCAGCAGCCGCGGUAAUACGUAGGUGGCAAGCGUUAUCCGGAUUUAUUGGGCGUAAAGCGAGCGCAGGCGGUUUCUUAAGUCUGAUGUGAAAGCCCCUGGCUCAACCGGAGUAGUGCAUUGGAAACUGGGAGACUUGAGUGCAGAAGAGGAGAGUGGAACUCCAUGUGUAGCGGUGAAAUGCGUAGAUAUAUGGAAGAACACCAGUGGCGAAAGCGGCUCUCUGGUCUGUAACUGACGCUGAGGUUCGAAAGCGUGGGGAGCA